rnacentral:rRNA from 1 species
UCGGGUUGUAAAGCACUUUUGUCCGGAAAGAAAACUUCCGCCCUAAUACGGUGGGAGGCUGACGGUACCGGAAGAAUAAGCACCGGCUAACUACGUGCCAGCAGCGCGGUAAUCGUAGGGUGCGAGCGUUAAUCGGAAUUACUGGGCGUAAAGCGUGCGCAGGCGGUUUGUUAAGACAGAUGUGAAAUCCCCGGGCUUAACCUGGGAACUGCAUUUGUGACUGGCAAGCUAGAGUAUGGCAGAGGGGGGUAGAAUUCCACGUGUAGCAGUGAAAUGCGUAGAGAUGUGGAGGAAUACCGAUGGCGAAGGCAGCCCCCUGGGCCAAUACUGACGCUCAUGCACGAAAGCGUGGGGAGCAAACAGGAUUAGAUACCCUGGUAGUCCACGCCCUAAACGAUGUCAACUAGUUGUUGGGGAUUCAUUUCCUUAGUAACGUAGCUAACGCGUGAAGUUGACCGCCUGGGGAGUACGGUCGCAAGAUUAAAACUCAAAGGAAUUGACGGGGACCCGCACAAGCGGUGGAUGAAUGUGGAUUAAUUCGAUGCAACGCGAAAAACCUUACCUACCCUUGACAUGGACGGAACCCUGCUG